CAGGGAUUGCCUUAGUAACGGCGAGUGAAGCGGCAAAGCUCAAAUUUGAAAUCUAGCACUUUCAGUGUUCGAGUUUGUAAUUUGAAGAAGGUAACUUUGGAAUUGGCUCUUGUCUAUGUUCCUUGGAACAGGACGUCACAGAGGGUGAGAAUCCCGUGCGAUGAGAUGUCCAAUUCUAUGUAAAGUGCUUUCGAAGAGUCGAGUUGUUUGGGAAUGCAGCUCUAAGUGGGUGGUAAAUUCCAUCUAAAGCUAAAUAUUGGCGAGAGACCGAUAGCGAACAAGUACAGUGAUGGAAAGAUGAAAAGAACUUUGAAAAGAGAGUGAAAAAGUACGUGAAAUUGUUGAAAGGGAAGGGCUUGAGAUCAGACUUGGUAUUUUGUGUUCCUUAUUCUUUUUGGAUUUGGUUCCUCACAGCUUACCGGGCCAGCAUCGGUUUGGAUGGUAGGAUAAUGACAUUGGAAUGUAGCUUUGCUUCGGUGAAGUGUUAUAGACUUUGUUGAUACUGCCUAUCUAGACCGAGGACUGCGUCUUUGACUAGGAUGCUGGCGUAAUGAUCUUAAGCCGCCCGUCUUGAACACGGACCAAA
rnacentral:rRNA from 1 species